AAUCCAUAGGUUAAUGAGGCGAACCGGGGGAACUGAAACAUCUAAGUACCCCGAGGAAAAGAAAUCAACCGAGAUUCCCCCAGUAGCGGCGAGCGAACGGGGAGGAGCCCAGAGCCUGAAUCAGCAUGUGUGUUAGUGGAAGCGUCUGGAAAGGCGCGCGAUACAGGGUGACAGCCCCGUACACAAAAGCGCAUGUGCUGUGAGCUCGAUGAGUAGGGCGGGACACGUGGUAUCCUGUCUGAAUAUGGGGGGACCAUCCUCCAAGGCUAAAUACUCCUGACUGACCGAUAGUGAACCAGUACCGUGAGGGAAAGGCGAAAAGAACCCCGGCGAGGGGAGUGAAAAAGAACCUGAAACCGUGUACGUACAAGCAGUGGGAGCACAGGUUUACCUGUGUGACUGCGUACCUUUUGUAUAAUGGGUCAGCGACUUAUAUUCUGUAGCAAGG
rnacentral:rRNA from 1 species